ACCAAUCAGCUUGGUAAUCAAACAUCAUCAGAGAUCCAUCUGACUAUAGGAGGUGAUCAACUGGUUGGUGCUCAAGUCAUCGUGAAGGUCCUGGGAAUCAUUCUGCUCGUCACUACUUUGCUCAUCUUUGAGUGCUUUUCCCUCCCCAGCGUGUAAAGUCUGCUCGUGUCUCUGCUGCUUUUCAUUGAAGAAGAAGACAUCUAUGUUAACAUGGUGGCCAUGAGGCAGAAGAGGAAGCUAUGAAGCUGUAUCAUCUUCUCUGUAUUCAUUAUUACAUCACAGGUGAUUUAGCUGAAGCUUUUAUCCAAAGCUUACAUUACAUUUUUAACCCAUGGCUUUUUACAUUUUUGCCCGGGGAGCAAUUAGGGGUUAGGUGUCUUGCUCAAGGACACUUCAACUUGGGACAUGGGGCAGCUGGGACUUGAACCACCAACCUUGCAGUUCCUAGCGGACCCUCUCUGCCCCUACGCCACGACGACCCGCUAUUCAUUAGUCUUAGUGCGCUUCUUACAACCAUGUGUGUGGCUUUUCUCUUAAUACUUAAUGGUAUUCUGUUCUGUAACAGUGAAUGGUGAAUAAUGUUUAUUAGCUUUCUGUGUGUCUUUCUAAAAAUCAUCAAUAAAAACAUCCUCUUAUAUUUUAUCUCGUCUUUAUUCGAUGUAAAGUGUAUAAAAUGAAUAAAAAUAAUGAGUUUCAUUGAGCAGAAAGUAUCUGCGCAAGCGCACUAGACUACCGUACAUGACAAUGAGUAAAAACGUUACAACUGUCAGACUUUUCUAAAAACAAAUGUAGCCGGGUGACGUGGGGGCAGAGAGGUGUUCGUACUGCUAGAUGGUCCACAUACAGGAUUAGAGAAAGUGACACUUUAAGUACCAUAGGAGUCAAACUCGCCCGCCGGAUGACUUUGAUAUUGUGAGAAUUAUUUUCUCAACUUUUGGAAGAAUAACAGUGAUUUAAGUGUUGAACAGCAUGAGACAGUGAAUGGUCUUUGUCUCUGCUUAACAGGAGGAAGUCACUACUGUUGUUGUUGAAGCCAUAUUUUCUGUUUUGUUACAAAUCAUUUAUUUGUUUUAUUGGUAGGAAUCAUGUGUAUUCACUUAAUGUAUUUUUUUGUUCAUAUUUGAAAUAACUCACUUCAUUAGAGGCACCUGACGAGGAUCAGCGGAUAAGAGGAGGGGUGGGACUGAGGCACCGGGGCUGGCUUUUGUAUUGGACGGGACAUCGGCACAGUCUUUCGACCUUACGUUGUCCACUCGGUCAAUCAUGUUCAAAUGAAACGACCAAAUGUAAAACUAAAAUAAAUGACGUAAAUGAGAA